UACGUAGGGGGCGAGCGUUGUCCGGAAUCAUUGGGCGUAAAGCGCGUGUAGGCGGCCCGGUAAGUCCGCUGUGAAAGUCCAGGGCUCAACCCUGGGAUGCCGGUGGAUACUGUCGGGCUCGAGUCCGGAAGAGGCGAGUGGAAUUCCUGGUGUAGCGGUGAAAUGCGCAGAUAUCAGGAGGAACACCGGUGGCGAAGGCGCCGCUCUGGGCCGAAACUGACGCUGAGGAGCGAAAGCAUGGGUAGCAAACAGG
rnacentral:rRNA from 1 species